ACCGAAUGUUGAGUUGGAGCAAUCUGCGUUCAUCCUGGAAGCAGAACUCUAGAUAGCAGUGGAACAACAGGAUUUUAACCUAAUAAUCUACCAAGUUACCUGGAUGAUUCGGUGGAAAGAAUAAGAGAGGUUGCUAUCCGGUGCUUGGUGGUGUGUCUUCGUGAAAAGGAGGAUCUCUUCAAGGAAAACUUAAGAUGGUGAAGUGGAAGUUAGCAAUGAGGUGCUGAAGAUUGUCUUGACCAGGGGUGCGGAUGCAAGAAUAGUGAUUGAAGGAACAGAAGUCCUUAAAAUC